rnacentral:rRNA from 1 species
CGGCUCAGGAUGAACGCUGGCGGCGUGCUUAACACAUGCAAGUCGAACGAACCUUCGGGUUAGUGGCGGACGGGUGAGUAACGCGUGAGAAUCUGCCCUCAGGAGGGGGAUAACGGUUGGAAACGGCCGCUAAUACCCCAUAUGCCGCGAGGUGAAAUGAAUUUCGCCUGAGGAUGAGCUCGCGUCUGAUUAGCUAGUUGGUGUAGGUAAUGGCUCACCAAGGCAUCGAUCAGUAGCUGGUCUGAGAGGAUGAUCAGCCACACUGGGACUGAGACACGGCCCAGACUCCUACGGGAGGCAGCAGUGGGGAAUUUUCCGCAAUGGGCGAAAGCCUGACGGAGCAACGCCGCGUGAGGGAUGAAGGCCUCUGGGCUGUAAACCUCUUUUAUCAAGGAAGAAGAUCUGACGGUACUUGAUGAAUAAGCCACGGCUAAUUCCGUGA